rnacentral:tRNA from 1 species
AUUUUAUUAGUAUAUAAAAGUACAUCUGACUUCCAAUCAGAUAGGUUGUGUCAAGCAAAUAAAAUA